rnacentral:rRNA from 1 species
UACGGGGGGGGCAAGCGUUGUUCGGAAUUACUGGGCGUAAAGGGCUCGUAGGCGGCCAACUAAGUCAGACGUGAAAUCCCUCGGCUUAACCGGGGAACUGCGUCUGAUACUGGAUGGCUUGAAUCCGGGAGAGGGAUGCGGAAUUCCAGGUGUAGCGGUGAAAUGCGCAGAUAUCAGGAAGAACACCCGUGGCUAAGGCGGCUCUCUAGUACGGUACUGACGCUGAGACGCGAAAGCGUGGGGAGCGAACAGG